GACGAACGCUGGCGGCGUGCUUAACACAUGCAAGUCGAACGGAAAGGCCCCUUUGGGGGUACUCGAGUGGCGAACGGGUGAGUAACACGUGAGUAACCUGCCCUUGACUUCGGGAUAACUUCAGGGAACUGGGGCUAAUACCGGAUAGGAAUCCUUGCUGCAUGGUGGGGGUUGGAAAGCUUCGGCGGUUUUGGAUGGACUCGCGGCUUAUCAGCUUGUUGGUGGGGUAGUGGCUUACCAAGGCUUUGACGGGUAGCCGGCCUGAGAGGGCGACCGGCCACAUUGGGACUGAGAUACGGCCCAGACUCCUACGGGAGGCAGCAGUGGGGAAUAUUGCACAAUGGGCGGAAGCCUGAUGCAGCAACGCCGCGUGCGGGAUGACGGCCUUCGGGUUGUAAACCGCUUUCAGCAGGGGCGAAGCUUGUGGUGACGGUACCUGCAGAAGAAGCACCGGCUAACUACGU
rnacentral:rRNA from 1 species